UACAAAGGGGGCUAGCGUUGUUCGGAUUUACUGGGCGUAAAGCGCACGUAGGCGGAAUGUUAAGUCAGAGGUGAAAUCCCGGGGCUCAACCCCGGAACUGCCUCUCAUACUGGCAAUCUCGAGUUCGGGAGAGGUGAGUGGAAUUCCGAGUGUAGAGGUGAAAUUCGUAGAUAUUAGGAAGAACACCAGUGGCGAAGGCGGCUCACUGGUCCGGUACUGACGCUGAGGUGCGAAAGCGUGGGGAGCAAACAGG
rnacentral:misc_RNA from 1 species